rnacentral:lncRNA from 10 species
CAACAAGCAAAUGUGUUGGUUCAUAUAGCCAGAAACUUCAAAAGUUAAGACAAGUUUUGGUGUUAGUUUAAUUUGGCAGCUCAGAAAUUUCUUUAAGGACUGAAUUUCUUUUCAUAUAUCUUUUCUGGGAUAUCUGCUUCAUCCCAAAGCUGGGUUCCUCCAGUGAUCGAAACAUGGCUACCAACAGUCUCCAGAAACACCUCUUCCAACCCGAGGAGUGAGCGUCUCCUCCCCAGCCACUGGGCAGAGUUCUAGGAUUCCCUCUGAUUGGACCAUGUUGAUCAUGUGCCUUUCCUGGGGCUGGGGACUGUCCUACGUUGAUUGGCUUAGAUCUGGCUUAUGCGCUGGUUCCUGAAAUAAACACCGUGUCAAGAGUAGGAUAUACUUGCAGUUUAAUUUAGCCAAACCUGGACCUAUGCUGGAGCUGAGGAUGGAGCAAAUACCAGCAAAACUGCCUAAAUGUUCCCCAGUGCUGUGGGGGUGGAACGGACGCUGAGAAGCUCACCCUAAUAUCCAAUUCACCAUGGAAAAAAGACAGGAAGGAUAUACAGCAAAGUGCCCACGACAGUUAUUUUCAAGUGGUGAUAUUAUGGGGAAUUUUUAUUUUCUUUUUUACGCUUAUCUGUAUUUUACAUUUUUGACAACAAGCAUAUAUUACUUGAAUAACUUCAAAGAGAAAUGAAAGCUAUAAAUAUGAAGAAAAGCUGGUAUAUAACACUAGCAAGUAAUUAACAGCUUGAGGGAUUUAAAGCAGACGUGUUGGCAAACAGGAAACAUGAAUUUUCAGAAUGGUACCAACGGUGCCUUGCAGAAGCUUCCAACUGCCUUUCUCUUGCCCCUGUUAGGCAAUUCCGUCGUUUCUACAGACUUAAUCUGAGAUCUCUGAAGGCUAGUCUGGCUUAAAACUACCAGUUUCAGCGGCUUGCAAUUUUCUCUUAUAUUUGGGUGGGGAAGAUUUUUCAGUUUUCCCUUAGAGACACUUUCCCUUGUGGGGCAUGAUAGUGUGUUCCUCGUUGCAGAAGGACCCCUGUAUGCAGAAGUAGAGGCGCUGGCCUCAGGCUCCUCCACUUCCUCUUGGACAGAAGACGCUGAGCAUUUUUUCAGGAAGUGGUCACCCCAGUGGUCCCCGGCUUUCUCAGACUUCCUGCAGCUCUCUACACAGUGAAUCACAGUGAGACACUGGCAGCAGGCACCACGGAAGGGACCCUCAAAUCUGAAGGCUCAAGGUCCUGGGAAAAGAUGAAGUGGAGCAUGCCUCUUGUUUCCUCCUAUUAGAUGCUGAGUGUUGGAAGUUCUUCCUAGGAUUCACAAAGAAACUCCUGCUCUUCUUCCACAUACUUUUUCCUGGGAAAGAAAACUUGUUUCACUGGCAGAAAAGAUCCCCACUGUUAAAGUGAGGUAAAGAAGAUUCUUGCUUCCUCUUUACGCGUCCGCCAUGAUUGUAAGUUUCCUGAGGCUUCCCCAGCCAUGCUGAACUAGAUGAGGUUUUGCCAUGUUACCCAGGCUGGUCUUCAACUCCUGGACUCAAGCGAUCCACCUGCCUCGGCCUCCUAAAGUGCUGGGAUUUCAGGUGUGAGCCAC